GGUCCUUUAGUAUAGAGGUUAGUACAGCUCCCCUUCAAGAAGCUAGGAUCAGUUCAAAUCUGGUAAGGACCA
rnacentral:tRNA from 1 species